AACGGGGGGGACCAGUGUUAAUCAUAAUGAUUGGGCGUAAAGGGUGUGUAGACGGCCUAGUAAGACGGAAGAUAAAGACCACAUGAGGUGUGGAAAGCUUUAGUAACUGCUACGGCUAGGAUAGAUCGGGAGAGGGUAGUACUCAGCGAGGAGAUGGGAACAUUGAAGAUACGAAGAGGACUCACGAGGGCGAAGGCAACCAUCUACGAUCGAUCGACGUUGAGACACGGAGGCAUGGGGAGCGAACAGG
rnacentral:rRNA from 1 species